ACGGAAGGCAGCAGUGGGGAAUAUUGGGCAAUGGGCGCAAGCCUGACCCAGCAACGCCGCGUGAGGGAAGAAGGCUUUCGGGUUGUAAACUUCUUUUAAGGGGGAAGAGCAGAAGACGGUACCCCAAGAAUAAGCCACGGCUAACUACGUGCCAGCAGCCGCAGUAAUACGUAGGUGGCAAGCGUUGUCCGGAUUUACUGGGUGUAAAGGGCGUGUAGCCGGGGGAGCAAGUCAGAUGUGAAAUCUAUGGGCUUAACCCAUAAACUGCAUUUGAAACUGUUCUUCUUGAGUGCUGGAGGGGCAAUCGGAAUUCCUUGUGUAGCGGUGAAAUGCGUAGAUAUAAGGAGGAACACCAGUGGCGAAGGCGGAUUGCUGGACAGUAACUGACGGUGAGGCGCGAAAGUGUGGGGAGCAAACAGGAUUAGAUACCCUGGUA
rnacentral:rRNA from 1 species